AGGACGAACGCUGGCGGCGUGCUUAACACAUGCAAGUCGAGCGGAAAGGCCCUUCGGGGUACUCGAGCGGCGAACGGGUGAGUAACACGUGAGCAAUCUGCCUUUAGCUUCGGGAUAGCUCCGGGAAACCGGAAUUAAUACCGAAUACGACUACGACCGACAUCGGCCACGGUGGAAAGUUUUUCGGCUAGGGAUGAGCUCGCGGCCUAUCAGCUUGUUGGUGGGGUAAUGGCCUACCAAGGCGACGACGGGUAGCCGGGCCUGAGAGGGCGACCGGCCACACUGGGACUGAGACACGGCCCAGACUCCUACGGGAGGCAGCAGUGGGGAAUAUUGCGCAAUGGGCGAAAGCCUGACGCAGCGACGCCGCGUGGGGGAUGAAGGCCUUCGGGUUGUAAACCCCUUUCAGCAGGGACGAAGCGAAAGUGACGGUACCUGCAGAAGAAGCGCCGGCUAACUACGUGCCAGCAGCCGC
rnacentral:rRNA from 1 species